AGCGAACGCUGGCGGCAGGCCUAACACAUGCAAGUCGAACGGACCCUUCGGGGUUAGCGGCGGACGGGUGAGUAACACGUGGGAACGUGCCUUUAGGUUCGGAAUAGCUCCUGGAAACGGGUGGUAAUGCCGAAUGUGCCCUUCGGAGGAAAGAUUUAUCGCCUUUAGAGCGGCCCGCGUCUGAUUAGCUAGUUGGUGAGGUAAUGGCUCACCAAGGCGACGGUCAGUAGCUGGUCUGAGAGGAUGACCAGCCACAUUGGGACUGAGACACGGCCCAAACUCCUACGGGAGGCAGCAGUGGGGAAUCUUGCGCAAUGGGCGAAAGCCUGACGCAGCCAUGCCGCGUGGAUGAUGAAGGUCUUAGGAUUGUAAAAUCCUUUCACCGGUGAAGAUAAUGACUGUAGCCGGAGAAGAAGCCCCGGCUAACUUCGUGCCAGCCGCCGCGGUAA
rnacentral:rRNA from 1 species